ACUUCUUUUAUAGACAUACAUGCAAAUUAAAAAUUCAUAACAAAAAGUAUGAACAAAAUGGUUAUCAAAUACCAAAGUAACAAAAAUUCAUAACUGUUUCUCAAUUUUGACAUUAGAGACCAAAUUACUAAGUAAAUAGUAAAUACCCUAGGAAUGUAUUGGAUGCGGAAUGAGCGCAAGCUAUUCCUUAGUUCCAAAGCCUCAUCACAUAAGUUCCUUAAAUGCACAUUGUUGAUUUUCCAGGACCCCUGAAACUGUUGUUUACAAAA
rnacentral:lncRNA from 1 species